UAUUAUUGAGAUGAUUUCAGUUGUAUAGAUAUGAUAACGAUAUAUAAGUGUAAAUAAAUGCACAUAUAUACAAACAUACACAAAAUAUAUAUAAAUAGAUAGAUAUCGAUAGAUAGAUAAAUAGAUGAAUAUGAAUAGAUACACAUAUUUUUUUCUUUUCUUUUUUUUUUUCCUGUAGAAAAUCGGCCUGUGCAAAUAAGGGGUUCCGUCCAAGGUGUCGGAUCGGUUCGGAUUCGGUUUCGCUCACCCGCCAGGAGUCGACCCGUGCACCACGAUCUCUUGGUUAGAUACGAUCAUGGAAGCAAGGAAAACGAGGAGAGACGACGGAGCAGAUUGACAUCAGCUCCCGACACGUCGAGGAGGCCCUGGCAGCGAAUGACGUCGAGGGAGCCAGAACGGAGAAUGAUCUUUCGCAUCUAACAGUGACGUUGUUGGAUUGUCUGGACGACUGGUCUGACGUCACAGCCCGGGCGCCGACGGGGACCUCCUCCCUCGCCCUCGUUAACAGAUCUCGAGAAUAAAGGCGAUCUAACUCUUACGUUUCAUAUCGGACAUCUUGCAUUUGUCGGUUAAUCUUAACAAUUAAAGAUUUAAAAAGA